CCCCAAGUAAGGUCCCUGCAAAUAGGAGAGGGCCAGAUGGGAAUCAUGGAAUUUAAAAGACCAAGGAAAGAUUCAUCAAGAAAAAACAGACUAGAAAUUCUACUCUAAUGCAAAUAACACCUCUGAUAUAUUCAAAAAGCAACAACACAUGCAACAUAAUGGAGUGUGAGGAAAGGGCAAUGGACUUUGUAAAGGACAGCAUUUCUUAAACUUUUUGGUUUGGGACCUCUUUACACUCUGAACAAUUGUUGAGAACCUGACAAGUUUUUGUAAGGUGAAUAAUAUCUAUCACUAUUUCUCAUAUAAUAAAUGUAAACUGAGAAACUUUUAAUACAUGAGAUUAUAUAGGCACACAUUCUAUGAACUCUUAGACGAAAUCAUCAUACAUCACUUGACAGCUGGAGAAGUUCACCAGACACAUGAGAGAUUGAGAGGGAAAAAGACAAAUAACAUCUUAGUACUUUAAUAAAUAUAAAUAAAAACAGUUUGACCUUGUGGACUCACAGAAAGUGUCCCAGGAGUCCCCAGACAACACUUUGAGAAACACAUCUAUUGGAAAAUGAAAAUAAUUUUUACAUUUAAUUAAGUGCUGAACUUCUCUAUGUAAAUUACGACAGUAUACCUAUUAUUGAUUCUAAAAGAGUUAAAAGCUGGUAAAGGGUAGUGGUUUUUAAAAGAAACUAAAAACAUUAACAUUAAUUUUCUCCCUAGCCCUGACCUGAUUAAUUUUUGUGCAUAAUAAAGAGCCAUGGAUGAGUUGUUUUACUACUAUUAAAUAAUACAUUAAAAUAGAUGAUUUUCCCACGUUUCCCUCUGUGUCAUUUAUUUUUCUUAGGGGUAAGCUUUAGCAAGAUGUCAUUUUGUUUUUGCAAACAUUUACCAAAGUCUAGGAUAAAAACUCUGAGCUCAGGGAGGGCCUAUAUCUCCACACGCCCAACGUGUAUGACCCAUGCAAACAGAAACACGUGGAGCUUUUUCCUUCUGGUCCCAGACUCCACACUCACAGUAUGAGUGUGGCUAGGGCUCUCGUGCAAGGGCUGUUGCCUCACUGUCCAAGGACCUGGAUGGUUGUCUAGAACUGGUGCCCUUGCGCAGUAUAAGGUUAGCUUACUUCCCGUGGAAUCCACAGAAAGCCAAGCGCUUGAUGACCAUCUCAACGUACUUCACGGAGUUUCCUUUUAUGCGACAAGA
rnacentral:lncRNA from 1 species